rnacentral:rRNA from 1 species
UCCGGUUGAUCCUGCCGAAGGCUACUGCUAUUGGAGUUCGAUUAAGCCAUGCGAGUCUAAGGGAUCUUCGGAUCCCUGGCGUAAUGCUCAGUAACACGUGGAUAAUCUACCCUCAGGUGGGGCAUAAACCCGGGAAACUGGGGCCAAUUCCCCAUAGAUACAGAUGGCUGGAAUGCUUCUGUAUUCAAAGCUCCGGCGCCUGAGGAUGGGUCUGCGGCCUAUCAGGUUGUAGUCAGGGUCAAGACCUGACUAGCCAGCGACGGGUAUGGGGUGUGAGAGCACUUGCCCAGAGAUGGUUUCUGAGACACGAAACCAGGCCCUACGGGGCGCAGCAGGCGCGAAAACUUCGCAAUGCGGGAAACCGUGACGAGGGAACUCCAAGUGUCUAUGCAUUGCAUAGACUGUUUUUUAGCCUAAAUAGCUAUUAGAGUAAGGGGUGGGCAAGACCGGUGCCAGCCGCCGCGGUAACACCGGCACCUCGAGUGGUAGCCACUAUUAUUGGGCCUAAAGCGUUCGUAGCCGGUUUGGUAAAUUCUUGGGUAAAUCGUACCGCUUAACGGUGCGGAUUCCGGGGACACUACCAGACUUGAGACCGGGGGAGAUCAGAGGUACUUGCGGGGGAGCGGUGAAAUGUUGUAAUCCCGCAGGGACCACCAGUGGCGAAGGCGUCUGAUCAGAACGGCUCUGACGGUGAGGAACGAAACCCUGGGGCGCAAACGGGAUUAGAUACCCCGGUAGUCCAGGGCGUAAACGCUGCUGACUUGGUGUUGGGGAUCCUACGAGGAUGUCCAGUGCUGGCGCGAAGGUAUUAAGUCAGCCGCCUGGGGAGUACGGUCGCAAGACUGAAACUUAAAGGAAUUGGCGGGGGAGCACUGCAACGUGUGGAGCGUGCGGUUUAAUUGGAUUCAACGCCGGG